UACGUAGGCAGCGAGCGUUGUUCGGAUUUACUGGGCGUAAAGGGUGUGUAGGCGGUUGUUUAAGUUUGGGGUGAAAUCUCCCGGCUCAACUGGGAGGGUGCGCCGAAUACUGAAUGACUAGAGUGUGGGAGAGGUGAGUGGAAUUCCUGGUGUAGCGGUGAAAUGCGUAGAUAUCAGGAGGAACACCGGUGGUGUAGACGGCUCACUGGACCAUAACUGACGCUGAGACACGAAAGCGUGGGUAGCAAACAGG
rnacentral:rRNA from 1 species